rnacentral:rRNA from 1 species
GAUGAACGCUAGCGGCAGGCCUAAUACAUGCAAGUCGAGGGGCAGCGCGGUAGCAAUACUGGCGGCGACCGGCGCACGGGUGCGUAACACGUAUGCAACCUACCUUCAACUGGAGGAUAGCCCGGGGAAACUCGGAUUAAUACUCCAUAACACAGGGAUCCCGCAAUGGGAAUAUUGUUAAAGCUACGGCGUUGAAGAUGGGCAUGCGUUCGAUUAGCUAGUUGGUGUAGGUAACGGCUCACCAAGGCUACGAUCGAUAGGGGGUCUGAGAGGAUGAUCCCCCACACUGGUACUGAGAUACGGACCAGACUCCUACGGGAGGCAGCAGUAGGGAAUAUU